CCUACGCUGAUUCCUCUCUCUCUCUCUCUCUCUCUCUCUCUCUCUCUACCUUUCUCCCCAAAACCCAACUCUGAAUUUCAAUCCCAAACGCCAUCGGUCUUUAUCUCUCACCUUUCUCUGAAUCUAACCAGGGUUGUUGACAUCGCCACCGUUGAAGGCGAAAGGGGCCUCCACAAUCGCCUCCUAGCCCGUCCAUUAGUCCGACCCAGCCAACUGAGCCGUCCUUCAGAAAACCCGAUCGUUGCUUUGUGUUUCAGGUAAUGAUGAUGAUGCCAAUUACUCAGUCCCAAUGCCAACUGAAUCCUAGCAGAGGUGUGGUUGCCUUUUUGGUUGUCACCGUUGGCAUCAGGGUCCUCCAACUCAUGAAAGUAUGCAAGAUUUAUGUUUCUUUCUCAUUGUGUUUCUUCCAACCCAAUUGGAUACAAGAAGAGAGAAGUUUUGAUGCUAAGGUUGACAGUCAUAAGUGGAGAGAUUCCUAAUCCAAUUAAGUUUCCAAUAUAUAUUCUCUUUGGAUCUGCUGAUUUUUCAUACUUUACAUUGUUUUUGGGCAGUACUG